GUAUUCUUUUCAUCGUC
rnacentral:rRNA from 1 species